UACGGAGGGUGCGAGUGUUGUCCGGAAUCACUGGGCGUAAAGGGCGCGUAGGCGGCGCGGGGAGUCAACGGUGAAAGCUCGGCGCUCAACGCCGAGUCGGCCGUCGAUACUCCCGUGCUUGAGCAUUGUAGAGGCAGGUGGAAUUCCGGGUGUAGCGGUGGAAUGCGUAGAGAUCCGGAAGGACACCGGUGGCGAAGGCGGCCUGCUGGGCAGUAGCUGACGCUGAGGCGCGACAGCGUGGGGAGCAAACAGG
rnacentral:rRNA from 1 species